rnacentral:pre_miRNA from 1 species
AUGUUGUGGUUGACAGAAGAUAGAGAGCACAAAUGAACAUAUACACCCAGUCACCCAGACCCAGGAAAAUGAUUGUGUAUGAUCAGUUUUGUGCUCUCUUUUCUUCUGCCAACAUAUUAUAU